GCAAAUACAAUGAGGCCCCGUUUGGAUACCCAUGAAAACGUAGUAGAGUUAAACUAUAUACUACACCGGUAGGAAAAUUAUCCUAUGAAGUAUUUGAGAGAAAAAAAAAGUUACGUAAUUUUUGGAGUAUAAUUAAACUAUACUCCAAAAAAUGGAGUAAAAUUAUAAUCCACUAUAAUCAAAGGAAAAGAAUUUCGCCAUUCUUAGGCUUCCUUAUUCCAAAGAUGCAUCAAAUUCUAACUUUUAAAUUUCAAUAUAAAAUUUUAAAUUUCGACAUAAAUUUUAAAUUUUAAAUUUUAUAACUUAAUUAAUAUUGAAAUUAUUAAUUUCAAAUUUUAAAAUUUGAAUUUUAAAUUUUAAAUAUCAAAAAUUUAAAUUUUAUAAUUUCAAAAUUUAAAUGUCAAAUUUAAAAUUUAAAAUGUUCUAAUUUUAUAAAUUCAAAUUUUAAUUUUCAAAUAUCAAAUUUUAAAUUUAGUUUUCAAAUAAUAAAUUUCAAAUUUUAAAUUUUCUAAUUUAUAAUUUCAAAUUUUAAUUCUCUAUUUUCAAUAUUCAAAUUUAACUUUUAAAUUUCAAAUUUCAAAUAUUAGUUUUCAAAAUUCAAAAUUCAAAAUUUUAAACUACAAAUUUUAAAUUUUAAAUAUCAAAAUUGAAAUUUUAAAAUUUAAAAUUUAAAAUUUAAAUUUCAAAUUUUAAAUUUCAAAUUUCACACUUUAAAUUUUAACUUUUAAAUUUUAAAUUUUAAUUUUUAAAUUUCUGAUUUCAAAUUUCAAAUUUCAAAUCUCAAAUCUCAUAAUUGAAAUUUCAAAUUUUAAACUGUAAAUUUUAAAUUUAUUUUUUAAAUUUUAAAUUUUAAAUUUUUUAUUCUAAAUUUUAAAUUUUAAAUUUUUUAUUUUAAAAUAUUAAAUUUCAAAAUUUAAAAAUUAAAUUUAGAUUUUUAUAUUUUUAAUUUUUAAAUUUCAAAUUUUUAAAAUUGAAAAUUUAAAUUUAAAAUUUAAAAUUUAAAAUUUCACAUUUAAAAUUUUAAAGUUUAAAUUUUUAUAGAAAUUUUAAAAUUUAAAUUUUAACUUUUAAUUUUAAAAUUUAGAGAAAUCCAGUAAAAUUGUAUAAUGCGCAUCCAAACAGUUAAAAAAUUGAAUCCGUAGAACUUUUUAGAUUUGGAGGAUUCCCUAUUUCAUCUAAACCAAAACCACAGUUUAUAAAUUUCGUGGAGAUUUUUUACUGUGCAUCCAAACAGCCCCUAAAAGUCAACAUCCAAGGAUUCUUAAUUUGCGACUUCUAAAAAUAAAUCUACAUUUUCUUCCUGAAAAAUAAUGCCGAAACAUUUAUUUAAUUUUUCAUCUAGAAAUCAAAUUGUCCUCUCUGGAACAAUAAAUUUUAAAUUCGUCAUUGCUAUACCCCCAAGAUUAAGACCUCAGAAAUAAGACCACAACAUUCAUCAAGUUGCAAAGAGCUUGGUGGUUGAUACUUGAUAUCCCAAAUUCGAGUCCUAAUUACUUUAUAUUUUCAACUAAGUUUGUUUCUAAAAAAAUGAACGAAGUGGUGAACAUACUACCUUUCUACCUCUCUCAAAAAAAAAAAACACAGCUGCAGAUGCGGGCUCCAACAACUCGCCGACGCUGCCGGGGCUGCCGGUGACGUUCGCAGCGGCUGAGUCGGAGACGUCGAGGAGGGUGGGCACGGCGUCGACGGUGACGAGCAUGCAUAGCAUGCAGGCGUUGUUGUUGUUGUUGUUGUAUUGGUCGGCGGCUGUGGCGGAGGAGGAGCAGAGGGAUUUGAUAAGGGCGGUGGGGACACUCAGGGAGGAGAAGGAGAAGAAAGAAGGAGGAAGAAGAGGAAGAAAAAAAAAGUGUAAAUUGGAGAAAACAGAAGAAAAAAGAAAUGGCGUAAAUUUCACCUAAAUAGUGCAAUUUCAUUCUAAAGAGUGUAAAUCUGAUUUUAAAGAGUGUAAUUUCUGUCUCAAAGAGUGCAACGUUUAUUUAAAAUAGUGCAAUUUUUUUUAAAAAAUAGUAUAACAUUAUUUUAACAGUGCAUUUUUAUUAUCUUCUUUUUUCUUAUAUAAUUUUUGAUCUUUUAUGGAGGAAAUUUUUUUAUUUUUUUUAUAAUUUUUUGUAGUCACGAUCUCU
rnacentral:lncRNA from 1 species